rnacentral:rRNA from 1 species
GUCUACGGCCAUGCUACUCUGAACAUGCCUGAUCUCAUCUGAUCUUGGAAGCUAAGCAGGGUGGGGCCUGGUUAGUACUUGGAGGGGAGACCACCUAGGAAGACCAGAUACUGUAGGAA